AUUGGGUCUCUUUUUGUUUUAUUUUUGCUCCUUCUCUUUCUCUCUCUUUCCUCUCUCCCUCUCCUCUCUCUACGCCUCCCCCCACCCGACUGCCCCACCACCGUCGACGCUUAACUCGCAGCCACCUCCUUUCCCGACCAGCAGCGUCUCCACCGCCGUUUUCGAGCAGCAGUUAGUGUGAGCGAAGUUGAAGCAUUAUUUGAGCUGUUCAAGAAUAUUAGCAGUUCCGUAAUAGAUGACGGGCUAAUAAGCAAGGAAGAAUUUCAGUUGGCUGUAUUCAAGAACAGAAAAAAAGAAAACCUUUUUGCAAAUCGGCUUUGCAAAAGCUUUUGUUUAGCUUAUCGAAAGCUUGCAAGGAGUUACUAUUGUGAACAAGUGAGUAUGAUCCCUGAAAUCCUAUAAUGUGAUGCUUUUUUUUGCUGUGGUGUUAUUGUUGAAAGAUGGUAUAAAAUUAUUUGGCUUUUCUCUAUCUUUAAAUUACUUCUGUAUUUUGGUAAGAGCCAUAAUGGUUACCUACUCAAGAUCAGAUGAUUGCAUUCUUCUGCUAAUGGUAAGAGCCAUGAUGUUCACCUUAUCUACUCUUCUUUUUCCUAUUUCUAUCCUUUUUUCUAUAUGGAGCUUCUACAGCCCAUAUUUUGCAGGCCUAUUAAAAUUACCAAAAUAUGUGGUGUCAAGUGUUUCACAAUUUGUCGAAGAGACAAAUCCUAAAUACCAGAUUUUGUCCUUGUAGGUCAGUUCAAGAGGUAAACAUUCAAUUUGGCAUUGAUGGAAUACAUUCCUUUUCUUGGUAUAAUACAUAGUGUUGCUCUUGAACAGAAGACAAAUAAAACUAACAUUUUAAAUUUUUUUGAUUGUGAGAAUAAUAGAAGCGAUCCAAGAGUUUGAUGCUUCGUUGUAUUCUUUUAAUUGGUCUUUAAUAUUUAUUCUACAUUUAGUUGUAUUUCUUGGUUUAAGUUGGCAUAACUAAGAUGAGAGAAAAAUUUGAAAUUUAUUCUUUGAUAGUGAAGGUAAAGGUAUGCUGUGACAACCCAAACUGCAAAUCCUUUGAAUGUAAGAGCUGUAAAAUUGAAUUAAAAUAGAGGAAAAUGAUGGAAGGAUUCUUAAUUAUUUUUGUGGGAAGCUGGAUAUUUUAUUGACUUCAAUAAAACAUAUACCUAAAGAUUCUUCUCUUUUAAAGUUGCAAUUGCAGAGAGCGGCUAUCACACAUGCUAUGCAUGAUUUUAAAAGGUUUAACUAAGGGGUUUUAUUCUUGAAUAUUUGUAUUUGCAGAUUUUGAAGCAUGAGCGCUCAACAAGGUCGCGAAGCUUAAUUUUCAGAUUUAUUUUUUGUCGCAAAGACAAGUGAAACUAUAUGUGAAAAUGGUAUGGUCAUGUUGAAGGUAUUUUCCACCUCGUUUCCUCCUGAUUAUUGGACUUGCUUUAGUUUGGGAUCCUUGCUUCUGGAGGGAACUGUGGAAAGAAGUCAAAACUUGGCAUUACCUUUUGUGAAAAUGCAGAGCAAGGGACCUAUAUUCUGGAGGAGUAUGAAGCUAUGAAGCAUCAAGUUGCUCAGCUAACAAGAACACUUAAUUUCUCGGAGGCUAGGAUGUUGGGUAUGCAAGCCCAAAUUAAUAGUUUAUGAUGGAUAUGUUUAAAUGGAUAUGUAUAUUAUCUUUAAGGGUUUGAAUGUAGUUUUAGUUCGAAUUAGAAGUACUUUUAAGUUUAUAAUGUUUAAGUGUUUGAAUGAUGUUUAUGAUGUUUGAAUGUAAUUUAUGAUGUUUAAGUGUUUGAAUGUAAUUUUUAAUU